rnacentral:lncRNA from 1 species
CAACAAUCUCAGGGGCUGGUAGUUAACUGCACUCUGGUAGAAGGCCACAUAUUCAAGAAUAGCUGAGCAUCACAAAUUGGUCUUGGCUAAGGGGGAAAAAAGGACGAAGACACAGUGGCCACUGUCAUAAGGAAAGAGGGGAACUCUAUUGAAGACACACUGGCCACUGUCAUAAGGAAAGAGGGGAACUCUAUUUCAUGGGAAUCAUAUAUGUAAGACAGGGGUAAUUUGAGAGUCUCUGUGCCUGCACUGUGACUGCUUCAAUGAAAGAAAACCUCUAACCAAAAGCCACAAUCUGUCAAAACUCACACAGAAAGGAACAGCCUGAACAGGCCUGUGCUCAUUACAGAAAGCGAGCCAAUAAAUAAUACAGCAAGUAUCAGCCUCAGGCUCGUUUACUGGUGGCUCUUCCAGACAUUAAAGGAGGUGACAAAAAUCAAUCAUCUGUAGACUUUUUGAGAAGAUACAAGCAGAGACUACUUCCCAGUUUACUCUGUGCGCCCCCCCAUCACCCUAAUGUAGAAACCAUUUAAAGAGGUUGUGAGAGAAGAAAGCUAUUAAGCAGUAUCUUCGAAGCACUGACGCAAAACUCAGUAAUACUAGCAAAUCAAUCUAGGGCAGACAGAUGGCUCCUGGACUAAAGAUGCUUACUUGGAAGGCCUGAUGAUGCGAGUUUGACCACCAGAAUCCACAAUGGAAGGGAAGAACCAAGUCGCUAAGGAAAGGCCACCCUCCUCGGUUACCCUGGUUCUCCCACCUCUUCUGGCCUUCUGAAAGCUGGUAACUGUAUGCUGCUGCCAAUCCAGUGUACCAGCAGUUCCUUGGACAUUUAUAUCAAGGACCAGCCAAGCUCACUCAUCUAAAUGCCUUCCAUACCUACGUUUGUGCCGGAAAGGCAGAGCCUGGCAUUGCAACAGACAAUAGGCGAUCCAUAAUCCCAAGAGCAUUUACUCUUACCCACUGCAAAAGGUUACUUACCCUCUUCAGCCUUGGCACUCUUCGGAGAGAGAGUUGACUACCCCAGUGACCUUUCUGCCUCUCCCUGACGUCUCCAAGGACGACCCCAGUGUGGCUUCCCAGGUUCGCCUUGUAUACAGUGUUUCCACCAACGAAGCACCAGUUUAAGAGACUCUCACCUGGACAUUAACUCACCUUGCCCUGAAAUGCUGACAGGACUUAGACAUCCUGGUCCCAUAAAUCAUUCCCCUAACAAAACACAAAAUCAUCCUUCAGAUACCCUUUCACUCAAAGUGUUUGUCCACUGCUAGCUGAUCUGACCCAGCUCUUACAAAACUCCUGGACACCCCCCCCACCCCACCCCCCCACACACACUCUGACCACCAAAAGAAGCCACCAGCUUUGGGAAACUCAUUUGAAAAUUGAAAAAAAAAAUGCUGACAGCAUCGCUCCUCUUUCUGAGUGCUUUCUCUUCUUACAGAAUAAGACAGAAAGUUGAAGCUGCUAUUCAGACGAGAAAAUUCCCUUUUGUAGUUCAAACAAGGAGAAGAGGCAGCAUAAAGUGUGCUCUCGGAAGCUAAUCAGCCCUGCUGCUCAGCCCUGCCAUUUGGACUCAAGGGAAGAAGGCACUAGUUUGAAAGGCAUCCUGGAGAGCAGGGGGCCUGGCAGUGGCUUUGAAGCAAUUUUCAAAGCAGGUAGAGUCUGGUCAGGGCUGUGAGAGGUGUCCUCAGACCUGAGCUGGCAGAGCUGCCUCAAAGGCAGUCUUGAGGUCACAGAAGAGCCUGGCUGUAGCACCUCCUAUGAGAUGCUGGGCUGUGACCCCCCUUUCAACCAUGCAAAUUUGGAAAAAGCAACUUUCUUCUUGGAGACACAGAGGUUCUUUUAAGCAAACGAGACUGCACCAUGAGCUCACUGAGCUGGCAUAUAGAACAAUAGCCUCUGGCUCAGGAUGGUUCAACUCAGGGUAAUUUUCAUCUUUGCCGUGUUACAAAAGGAAUGUUUGCCACUGGAAGCCAUGUUUUAGUUUGAAUUUUGGAAUUUUUCCAGCCUAGCAAUAUUUCCAGUCUGGAUAUUUCUCAAGAUGCUGAUCGGCAGUAGUGAGCCACAGCACCAGGGAAAGCAACAGACAUACUAAUGUGCAUUGUGUUGCUAAGUUCAGAUUCUCACUGGUCAAGGGAAUUGGAUGCACUUUAAACUGAUGAAGCUAGCUCUAAUUUGCAAUGUGGUUGUGGGGCAUUAGCUCAAUCAUAGGUGUACUGGUUAGUUUUUGUCAUUUUGACACAAAAUACAGCCACCUGGGAAGAAAGAACCAUAAUUGAGAAACUGCCUCCAACAGAUUGGCAUGUAGACAGUUCCGUAGGGCAUUUUCUAGACCAGUGAUUGAGGUGAGAGGGCCCAGGCCAUGGUGAGCAGUGCUACCCUGGGCAAGUGAUCCUAGGCUGUAUAAGAAAGCAGGCUGAGCAAGCCAGAGUCAAAGGGCCAGUAUGCAGCACUCCUCCGUGGCCAGCCUCUGCAUCAAUUCCUGCCUUCAGGUUUCUGCCUUAAAUUUCUGCUUUGACUUCCCUGAGUGAUGGGUUGGGAUCUAUGAGUGAAAAGAAUCUUCCCAUCCUCUGUUUACUUCACUAGCUUUUGGGGCCUAAGGCAAACUAAAAUCUCAUGUAGUAGCCAACUUUAUUCAGAGCAUCUGAUAAUUUAUACUCUGAGGGUUAAGAGAGGCCACCUGAGUAAGGUGUUCAAUCACAAGGUCAAGCCACAUGUAGCAAAACCAUGUUUUUCCACAGAGGCCUAUGAAUGUAACAGUGGAAGUAAGCUUACUCCUGUUCCGUAUGCCCACGAGAAGCACAAGAACACAUCCCAAGAACAACUUUGUGUCUUGAAGAAACCGAGAUCACAGUUUCUUGUCUUGUUUUCUUGGAGUUUUCUCGUGACCCUUGGAAAUCUAACACAGCUUCAUUCAUGGAACCUGUUCUGACACUCCAUGUUUAUCAUAGCGACAGAGAGCAAGCUGGGACAGAAGGUGAUCUGAGGUGUGUUGCUACAUCAUUAGUCAGUACUUGACAUCUACAUAUCCCUUUGUAUAUCUAUUCCGUCCGUCUAUUUGUAUAUCUGUCUUUUGUUUAGGUUAGGGGAUUCUGAUCAAUAUCAUUGGAUUCCAAUCCAGUCUUCACCAUUUAUUAUCCAAUCAUCUUAGUCUGUUCACAUCUCAGAUCCUCAUCUGUGAGGUAGGAAAAUAUACUAAUACCUCCAUAAUGGAGUCAUUAAGAGGAUUAUAUGGAAGGAUACACAAAACACUUGCCUGGCACCUGGUCAGCACUCCAGGCAGUUGGCUUUGUCUUAUUGCUAUUAUUGGCACUGUGGGUUGAGGUCUGUGAUAAUGUUGGGGGAUGCAGAGCAGAUAGUUUUCAUGAGUUGUAAGCAAAGGUUCCAAGGAGGCAACGUUUAUUUUUCCAUUUGCAGAAGACCCAGUUCCCAUGUUCGCAUGGAUUUGCUUUUGAAAUGAUGUCAGAUCACCUGACAAGCAAAUGGCUAAAUACAGUCAAGUUUUACAUACAAGUUGUCCCUGCCAAGACCAUGGAAGUUAACUUAUGGAAUCAGAGAAAGAUGCAGAAUGAUGGAUCAGCAUAGAGACACUGAAGAGACCCCGUAGUUCACACCUGUCUGUGAGCAUCACUUCAAUCCUAUUGGGUCUCUUCGGCUAUGGCUAAAUGUCAUCCUGUCUCAGUAGACCCUAUAGGAAAAAAAAUCAAAGGAAAAACAUUUGGUUUAGAUUUCUAUAUAGACUGAAAAGCAAGUGUAGGCCUCUUAGGGAACCUAAUGCCCAAAGGUACCAGGGAUACCUAACUUCAGCUAUCCUCUGACUACCAGUGUGAAUAUCGGGAUGUUCCCUCAGAGACCAGGGCUUCCUUCCUGAGCCUUAAGGGCUACCACAGACAAAGUGCUUGUUUACAAAUGCUUUCUCAGUACAGUAAUACUGAGAUAAAGAAUUAGAACUGUUUGAUUUGGAUCUUUCUGCUCUCCACACCCAAGAACAUAUAGCCUUACCUAUGAUUAGUUAGAAUUUUAUAGAAGAGGAUUCUCUGCUGGAAUGUAACUGCCUCUGGCUAUACUGACCAGGUCACCAAAGAAUGUUCUCUGAGCCCCUAGGAUAGAGAUGGAAGUGAGGAAAGGACAUAUUUUACUGGUUACUGUGAGCACUGGACUUAGCAGAGUGGUGAUAGGUAGUGUGGACUGAUGGCCAGAAAUACAUAGCUCUUGGUUCCACCUUUGUGAUGUGGGGCAAGUUCUCUUCUCUAACCUGUAUAUCAGUUAUCUCUGUUUUUUUUUUUUAAUUCCAAGAAUUAAAGACUUAAAUCAGUGUAUUAGUCAGCUUUCUGUGAGUGUAAAAAUAUUUCAGGUAAUUUUUUUUUAAAUAAAGGUUUGUUUUGG